rnacentral:rRNA from 1 species
AGAACGAACGCUGGCGGCAUGCCUAAUACAUGCAAGUCGAACGAGAUCUUCGGAUCUAGUGGCGCACGGGUGCGUAACGCGUGGGAAUCUACCCUUGGGUUCGGAAUAACAGUUGGAAACGACUGCUAAUACCGGAUGAUGACGAAAGUCCAAAGAUUUAUCGCCCAGGGAUGAGCCCGCGUAGGAUUAGCUAGUUGGUGAGGUAAAGGCUCACCAAGGCUACGAUCCUUAGCUGGUCUGAGAGGAUGAUCAGCCAC